rnacentral:lncRNA from 1 species
GAUCCAUGAACUGACCAUGAAGCAGCUCACUGAGGAGGAAACCAGAAGAAAGAAAAUCAUAGCCCUCAAGUCAAUAGCUCAAGAAGAGGAUGACUCAGAAAAAUCAGACAACAGUGAAGAAGAUGAGGACUUAGCCCUGAUCACUAGAAAAUUCAGAUGGUUCAUGAGAAGAAAAAGACAAGGGACCAAGAGAAGGCCACCAGCUAAGGGAGAGCCAAGUAAAGAG